GCUUUCGGGCUCGGCGCAGUCUGCGGGCGGGAGGGCGCCGGCGAGGUGGCGAGGGCGGCUGGCGCGGGGGCGCGGGAGCCCCGGCUAAGCCCGGGGACGGGAGGGCGCCCCCUCCCAGCGCCCGAACCCAGGCAACUUCCCGCCGCCCGGGCAGGAGUUUCUCCGUAGCCCACGGACAUCCGGGAGGCUUGUGGAGGGCAGGCGGGUAACCCCCACUCCCACCCCACCUUUAUCCAGGGGCAGCCAGAGGAGCCAGCAGGUCGGGACUCGCUGAGGGGGCUCCACGCGGGGCCUCCCACGCACAGGUACGCGCUGGUCCUCGGGGUGUCCCCAGUUUGGGAGGGAGACACGCACAGUCGCUCCCGUCCACACUCCUCUCGUGUCCUGGCUCCAUGACUGGGAGUCUGGGGAAAGAAGAAUGGGUGUCUGAGACCUACCCCUCCGCCGGUGUCGCCCCGCUCUUUCUGGGCGUAGGAGCGGGCUGCCUGCCCCUCUCCCGCACCUUCCUGGUCUCGGGCUAGAACUGGGGCUUCCCAUCGGCCGCGCUUCCCUUAGGGGCGCCAUCUGAGGUCGGAAGCAAAGCUGGAGGGGCGUCCAGGCCAGAGGACGCGGGCUGGGGCGGGAGCCUCGGCAGCCUGGUGGGAGCUGGUGCCCACUGCAGGGUGCGUGUACGGGGCUGCCUGCGUGUGCUUGGUGUGUGUCACUUCUGGGAGCGUACCCCGUGUGUCCACGGGGUGUGUAUGCGCCCACGGAAGUCCUCUGUGCAUGCGUGUCUGUGCCAUAGGCGUGGGAACACCUCGUGCACCCAUGGUACUUGCCCGGAGAGUAGGAAGCCAGCGAGGGAGCGGCCCUGCUCCAGGGUCUCUUCCCUGCUCAUCCCUCCAGCUGGCCCAGAUUACACCCUACUCACACCCGGGUCGCGGCCCACUUUCCCCAUAGCCGCAGCUUCCGGCGGCUGCACACUUCUUAGUGCUCAUCCUGCCUUCUCGCCCCAACUCGUUGUGCCCUUCCCUCCUUGGAGAGUGAGUAGAAGAGGGGAUGGGGAGGAAUCCGUUUCCAUCCCCCGCGACCCCCUCACCUAGGGCGGAGGCGCAAGCUCUGCUGGGUGCUCUCCGCCCCCUUGAUCGCCGCUCUCGGUUUUCAGCACCAGGAUCCGGACAGCUCCCCACCUGGCCCUGAGGGGCCUCUUUCCUUGCCCUGGCCUGGAACGCCCCCGCCCUGGCCUUUAUAGCUUCCAGCUAGCUCCAGUACCCUAUCCUAGACCCUCUUCCCUGCCCCCAACACAAACACACAUCCGGCCUUCCCAUCCCGGACUUCUGUCGGGUGGCCAGGAGCACCCAGGGCCAGAACCUGCCUGGGAAAUCUCUGAAACUGACUGGCAGGCGUCACCACAUCACAGCCUGUCUUUCUCCAAAGGGCAGUGACUGAAGAGAGACUGCUACAGCCCUGCUACAGGCUCCCUUUCCCACCUCAGUUCAUUAAAAUAAGUGAAUAAAGCCAGAUUCCUUCCCCAAAGGCUAGCCAGACUUCAGAAGGCACUCUUAGAUCUAGGAUUUUCUGGAUUCUUGAAACGCAACUGGUGGACCCUAGACCCCCUUCCAGACAUUCUCACAGCCCCUCCUUCCUCUCUUUUUCUAAAUCCAGGCCUCCUCCGGUGGAAGGGGAUGGAAUGAACCCCAACCAUCUCUCCAUUUCCAGCAGCAGAGAGGGUUCAGAUGAUGUCAUGGCUUUGGGGGCGCUGGAUGGGAGAUGUAUGUGCAGAUUCUCACCACAGAUGUGCCCUGGGCUCCCCAAGACACCUCUAGAGGUGACUUUUGUGGGACCACGGCUCUGUGCAGACUGCUUUCACUGGGAUGUGGCCACCCAGAGACCUCUGAGGAUGCUCGCAUCCCAAGUGGAAUCCAGGAUACAGCAACUCUACCUGUGGCUCUCCCCACUCCUUUAGCUGACAAAUGCUCGUAUGUUGUGUGGAAUAUCGUCCUAGACACCUCUCCUUAGUGAGAGAGAAAGGUGUCUCCUUAGUGUCAUCCCAAACCCUCCAGGAAGAGCAGAAAGGGCCUGUGUGAUGCCCUAGCUGAUUCAGGGAUAGGUGAAGAAAGUCAAGGAGAAGUCCCCUCUCUCCAUCCUGCCUAUCCUACUUCUGAGAACUUUGGUAAGCUGGAGAUGGGGAGCCCUUCUCCUACCAGGGAAUUGGGCAAUUUUUCCUCUCUCCACAUUCUUCUCUCUCAGGCAGCAGAGACUAGGCCAACCUUGUCGGAUCUGGCCCAGGACAGAUCCAUGUGUUGUCUUUGUUCCACUGAGGCAAAGGGCAGGAGAGGAGAUCUGGGCUUGGAGAGGAGGGUGCCUCUUUGCAGAAGCUCUGGGACCUGGGGUGAGGCAGUCACACUCUCCGCACAAAAUGGCCUUUUCUCUGAAGCAGACAUUGUUCUGCCUACUGCUGAGCUACCAGAGAGAGGAGAGAAAAAUCCCCCCAGGCUGGGGACAAGGGAAGGAGAGGCAGCCACCCCAGUCCAGUGGCACUUCCUUCUGACAGGGUAGAAGUCUAAGCCCAGCUCCUGUGACAUUCUCAGAGUGUCCACGGGUCUCGAGGGAAGCUGAAAAUGGCUGUUCUCUCAAAUGAAUUACUUUUCAGACAAAAAGAACAGCGUAUGACUCAGUUAAGGAGGUGGCAGUGUGGACAAAACACACAGAGAGCAAGAGGAUGAGCCUUCCACUAAAGGUCAGUGGUCUCCCCAGGGUCUUUCAGCCCAAAUUCAGUCCCCUGGGAGUGCAAAGCUGCCACCAUCUGCCUAGCCCCAUGCCUGACCACUUUCCAAGCUUCUCUGGCUCCAUGACCUUCCUCUGUGCUCAGCUGGGUAACAUCUGGCUGCAGCCUCAUGGGAAGGCUGGCCAAGAUCGGGCAGGUACAGAGAAGUUUGCUUGUGGAUAUGAGCAUGGCUUCUCUGGUUUUGCACAGCAGAG
rnacentral:lncRNA from 1 species